AAUCAACGCUGGCGGCGUGCCUAACACAUGCAAGUCGGGCGAGAAAGUGGGGGCAACUCCAUGAGUACAGCGGCGACCGGGUGAGUAACACGUGACUAACCUACCCUUGAGUGGGGAAUAACUCCGGGAAACCGGAGCUAAUACCGCAUAACACCGUAAGGUCAAAGGAGCAAUUCGCUUAAGGAGGGGGUCGCGGUUGAUUAGCUAGUUGGUGGGGUAAUGGCCCACCCAAGGCGAUGAUCAAUAGCCGGCCUGAGAGGGCGCACGGCCACACCUGGAACUGAAACACGGUCCAGACUCCUACGGGAGGCAGCAGUGGGGAAUUUUGCGCAAUGGGGGAAACCCUGACGCAGCAACGCCGCGUGAAGGAUAAAGGUCUUUGGAUUGUAAACUUCUUUCGUU
rnacentral:rRNA from 1 species